rnacentral:rRNA from 1 species
AUACGGAGGGGGCUAGCGUUGUUCGGAAUUACUGGGCGUAAAGCGCGCGUAGGCGGUUUGCCAAGUCAGGCGUGAAAUCCCCGGGCUCAACCUGGGAACUGCGUUUGAUACUGGCGGGCUAGAGUCCGGGAGAGGGUAGUGGAAUUCCCAGUGUAGAGGUGAAAUUCGUAGAUAUUGGGAAGAACACCAGUGGCGAAGGCGGCUACCUGGACCGGUACUGACGCUGAGGUGCGAAAGCGUGGGGAGCAAACAGGAUUAGAAACCCCAGUAGUCC